rnacentral:rRNA from 1 species
AUUGAACGCUGGCGGCAGGCCUAACACAUGCAAGUCGAGCGGAUGACGGAAGCUUGCUCCUUGAUUCAGCGGCGGACGGGUGAGUAAUGCCUAGGAAUCUGCCUGGUAGUGGGGGACAACGUUUCGAAAGGAACGCUAAUACCGCAUACGUCCUACGGGAGAAAGCAGGGGACCUUCGGGCCUUGCGCUAUCAGAUGAGCCUAGGUCGGAUUAGCUAGUUGGUGAGGUAAUGGCUCACCAAGGCGACGAUCCGUAACUGGUCUGAGAGGAUGAUCAGUCACACUGGAACUGAGACACGGUCCAGACUCCUACGGGAGGCAGCAGUGGGGAAUAUUGGACAAUGGGCGAAAGCCUGAUCCAGCCAUGCCGCGUGUGUGAAGAAGGUCUUCGGAUUGUAAAGCACUUUAAGUUGGGAGGAAGGGCAGUAAGCUAAUACCUUGCUGUUUUGACGUUACCGACAGAAUAAGCACCGGCUAACUCUGUGCCAGCAGCCGCAGUAAUAC